AUUCACGCUGGCGGCGUGCCUCAUCCCUGCAAGUCGCGCGAACGGACGAGAAGCUUGCUUCUCUGAUGUUAGCGGCGGACGGGUGAGUAACACGUGGAUAACCUACCUAUAAGACUGGGAUAACUUCGGGAAACCGGAGCUAAUACCGGAUGAUAUUUUGAACCGCAUGGUUCAAAAGUGAAAGACGGUCUUGCUGUCACUUAUAGAUGGAUCCGCGCUGCAUUAGCUAGUUGGUAAGGUAACGGCUUACCAAGGCAACGAUGCAUAGCCGACCUGAGAGGGUGAUCGGCCACACUGGAACUGAGACACGGUCCAGACUCCUACGGGAGGCAUCAGUAGGGAAUCUUCCGCAAUGGGCGAAAGCCUGACGGAGCAACGCCGCGUGAGUGAUGAAGGUCUUCGGAUCGUAAAACUCUGUUAUUAGGGAAGAACAUAUGUGUAAGUAACUGUGCACAUCUUGACGGUACCUAAUCAGAAAGCCACGGCUAACUACGUG
rnacentral:rRNA from 1 species